rnacentral:lncRNA from 1 species
UUUGAGUGUUGAGUAAAGUGUGUCUCUAACACAAGGGGUUUUUCUUGCAGUGCCCUUGCUACCAGUUCCGAGCCAGCCGAGACCUGCCGUGGGACCCCAGAGAUUCCCAGGCCCUCCAGAAUUUCCACAGCAUACACCUGGACCUGUUCCCAACAGUUUCAGCCAGCCCCCACGACUCCCUCUCCAGGACCAGUGGAGAGCCCCACCCCCGCCUCAGGAUCGAGACCCUUUCUUCUUAGGAGUUUCAGGUGAACCAAGAUUCCCCAGCCAUCUUUUUCUGGAACAGCGAAGUCCCCCUCCACCACCACCGCCUCCUACCCUUCUUAACAGUAGCCAUCCUGUUCCUACUCAGAGUCCUCUACCAUUCACUCAGCCAGGACCAGCAUUUAAUCAGCAAGGACAGCAGCCAGUGUUCCCAAGAGAGCGGCCCGUACGACCAGCCCUGCAGCCUCCAGGUCCGGUGGGGAUUCUGCACUUUAGCCAGCCUGGGUCGGCAACCACACGGCCCUUCAUUCCUCCUAGACAGCCGUUCCUGCCAGGCCCAGGACAGCCGUUUCUGCCCACACACGCACAGCCCAACCUGCAGGGGCCGUUGCAUCCUCCAUUGCCCCCUCCGCAUCAGCCUCAGCC